rnacentral:rRNA from 1 species
AAGCAUAUCAAUAAGCGGAGGAAAAGAAACCAACAGGGAUUGCCCUAGUAACGGCGAGUGAAGCGGCAACAGCUCAAAUUUGAAAUCUGGCUUCGGCCCGAGUUGUAAUUUGCAGAGGAUGCUUCUGGCGCGGUGCCUUCCGAGUUCCCUGGAACGGGACGCCACAGAGGGUGAGAGCCCCGUAUGGUCGGACACCAAGCCUGUGUGAAGCUCCUUCGACGAGUCGAGUAGUUUGGGAAUGCUGCUCUAAAUGGGAGGUAAAUCUCUUCUAAAGCUAAAUACCGGCCAGAGACCGAUAGCGCACAAGUAGAGUGAUCGAAAGAUGAAAAGCACCUUGAAAAGGGGGUUAAAUAGUACGUGAAAUUGUUGAAAGGGAAGCACUUAUGACCAGACUUGGGCCGGGCGGCUCAUCAGGGGUUCUCCCCUGUGCAUUCCGCCCGGCACAGGCCAGCAUCGGUUUUCGCGGGGGGAUAAGACCGGCGGGAACGUAGCACCCUCCGGGGUGUGUUAUAGCCCACCGGACGAUACCCUCGCGGGGACCGAGGUCCGCGCUCCGCAAGGAUGCUGGCGUAAUGGUCAUCAGUGACCC